rnacentral:rRNA from 1 species
UACGUAGGGUGCGAGCAUUAAUCGGAAUUACUGGGCGUAAAGGGCGCGUAGGCGGUAGAAAAAGUCAGGUGUGAAAUUCCGGGGCUCAACCCCGGAGCUGCAUUUGAAACUUUUCAACUAGAGUUCAGUUGGGGUAAACGGAAUUCCACGUGUAGCGGUGAAAUGCGUAGAUAUGUGGAAGAACACCGGUGGUGAAGACGGUUUACUGGGCUGAUACUGACGCUGAGGCGCGAAAGCGUGGGGAGCAAACAGG